rnacentral:lncRNA from 11 species
GAUGAAUUGGACUAUAUCUGCCACCAUCUCCAGGAACUACUACAUCUAGACAUGCAGUUCAAGAUAUUUAUUAGGGUAUCAGAAUGCAGAAGCCCGCAACAAACAAGACUACAAUUGCUUCUUCAUAUAGCAGAUGGUCCAGUUCACAACCACAUCAGCCCAACUCCACAGUGAGAACAUACCAAAACAGCAAGUAUCAAGUGACAAUGAGCCCUGGGUUUAGUUCACAGUGGAACAACAGUCACCCGCUUUGGAAUACGUACACAUUCCCAAGGACAAGCUUGCACUACCAAUCACACACGAGCUACACCUACUGUGCUGGGCACACAGCGGUGAGUAACCAUGCUGAUUUGCACUCUGUUGUUCUAUGGCAUAUAGAA